rnacentral:pre_miRNA from 1 species
UCUUACGGAUGACCAAAGAAAGUAGUUUCCUGAGACGGAAUCUACUCCUGAUGAAGAUGCUGUGAA